rnacentral:tRNA from 1 species
GCCGACGUAGCUCAGUUGAUAGAGCAUCCGACUUGUAAUCGGAUGGUCGGGGGUUUGAAUCCCUUCGUCGGCUCCA